AGGUUACUGUUAUCGAGGUUCGACUAAGCCAUGCGAGUCGAAUGUAGCAAUACACGGCGUACUGCUCAGUAACACGUGGACAACCUACCCUUUGGACGGGGAUAAACCCGGGAAACUGGGUAUAAUACCCGAUAGACCUGGGAUGCUGGAAUGCGCCCAGGUUGAAAGCUCCGGUGCCGAAGGAUGGGUCUGCGGCCUAUCAGGUAGUAGUGGGUGUAGCGUACCUACUAGCCUACGACGGGUACGGGUUGUGAGAGCAAGAGCCCGGAGAUGGAUUCUGAGACACGAAUCCAGGCCCUACGGGGUGCAGCAGGCGCGAAAACUUUACAAUGCCGGCAACGGCGAUAAGGGAACCUCGAGUGCCAGGUUACAAAUCUGGCUGUCGUGAUGCCUAAAAAGCAUUGCAUAGCAAGGGCCGGGCAAGACCGGUGCCAGCCGCCGCGGUAACACCGGCGGCUCGAGUGGUAACCGUUAUUAUUGGGUCUAAAGGGUCUGUAGCCGGCCGGAU
rnacentral:rRNA from 1 species